GUCUGAAAAAUCGAGAGAGUGUUCCUGUUAAUCAUCGGUCGAAUUUCUUAUUUGCCCGAUCGAAUCGGACGGUUUCGAGAUUGGUUGAACAUUGUUUGGGAAAUACUUGUAUCAGAAAUCGAUAUAACUGUCGCGAUCGACUAAGAUCUUUAAUCGGUGCGUGGAUUCCAUGGUUUAACUAAAUCGAUUCGAGACUGGUAUAUAAAAAAAUCCUAAUCCCUCUAGACUCUGGUUUCUACAUCAUAGAAUUCGAAAAUCUGUUCACAAGGAUGUAAUAUAGGAUAUCGUGGUUCCACCAAAUUUUCAUUGAAAAUAUCUGUCGCGAAUCCAAUUCUACACGCACACAGUUUGGCCAGUUUGUUCCAAAGGGUGUUUUACGACUUUGCAAAGUACACUUUGCGAGUGGUAUAUAUUCUGAUAGCCUGUUAAAGACGGCCAGUUAAGCGAGGUGUGAAGAUAGAGAUAGAUUUAUCAGAUUCGAAGUUUUUGGUUAAAUUUCCAUCGAUUUAUCAUUCACUCUGUGAAAAAGAGAUGGGUUUUAAUCGCGUCUACCUUUACCUCACUUUAUUCCACACAAUAUCAAUUAAAAUUUCCCAUUUUUGUGGAUAGAUCCGCGCGAUAAAGUGAUAAAUGAAAACUGUGUCUGGCGAUACGACAUUAAAGGGUUCCGGCUGAUUUAAUACGAACAAACGAAAGCUUGUCAACAAACUUUAUUCCGACCAUUUCGAUAUUACGCCUGGUUUAAUCUUCAAGUAGGUAUCCGUAUAAUAUUCAGCUUUCAACCAAUUAAACUCGCGCGAUGCGCUAUUUGAAACGCAUGUGGAGUCAUGAAAACGACGAUUAUAGCAUAUUCCAGGUUAACGUGUUUACAUUGAUUAUUUCCAGUUACCACGGAUUUAGCAAGCUGUGCGUUUUACGACAUGCAAAUACGUGGCCCAUUAAUAAUAAUUUUUAAUAUUAUACAAAGGAUACUUUGUAUUUGCAGGAAGAAGCGAAUCAAAAAAGCGAACAACUAAUUUCUCUGAUAGUUCAGGUAUUUGUUUGCGAAGUAGUUUUCCUCUCAUGUGCAAUGUAGAUUCAUGAAAUACGUGGAAGGAAUCAAGGAACUUUGCUCGGAUAAACUUUGAAAUUUCAAUUUCGGAUAUUUGAUAUUCUAUUCUAGGAGAAGGGUUUAUAUCGAUGUAUCAUCGUAGAUUCGAAUUCGUUAUAAAGCAUUAUAAAUUAAACGCUCAGUGUCGUCGAAUAUAAUAUUAUUUUAACACUAGAACUAAUUUUUUUUUUUAAAUAUUUUUUUGAAAAUAAGAUGACUUUUACAAGUACAUCAAAGUAUUAAAUAUUAUGUAUUUCAUUUUUUCUUAAAUAUAGUAAUCUAGUAGUUCCAAUGUCAAAACAAACUAUAUCGAGAAGAAUGUAAUAAUAUUUUUUGAUUUCAGAAGCUUUCAAAAGUUAUGUGUUAAAAAGAAAAAGAGAGAGAGAGAGAAAGAGAGACAUUAAUUUGUCGUAUCGUUUCCCAAUACGGAAUAGAAGAUUCUAAAAUAAAUCUUGGUACAAAAAAAAGAAUAUCCGUUUGUAAUUGAAAUUCGUAUGAAGUGUAGAUACUCUCCGCUGUACAAUGGAGAGGUUCCUUGGCAAUCAUAUAUUAUAGUUCGCGCGGAUUCACCAGGCUUGAAAUCUCCAUUACACGGAAGAAAUCCAAAGAGAUUUUUUACGUUUAUUUCACACUUUUACCUCUUUCUCUCUCCCUCUCUCUCUCCGUUUUCCCUCCUUUAAUCCACUUAUACGUUCAUUAACUUUUUUUUUGGAAAACGAAUGAAUCUUUUUCUUCUACACGGAUUUUAAUCUUCUUUUUUUAAUUUUACUUCUCCCGUCGAGGAAUAUCGCGAGGAAUAAAGGAAUAAUGGAUGAAGAAGCAACGAAUAUUUUGCUAAAAAUCGAAAGGUUAAAAAGGCAAUUAACAUGGGUGCGUUUCCAUUUCUUUUUGUUCGCGGGAUAAUUCGAGGCACGUGCGAUCGACGAUGCACCGAUCACGGCGUACACCUUCGUUUAAAUGAAUUUCCCACGGCAGAAACCUAUUGUCAGCUUGCUUUCGAUCGCACACCGACGACGUACGCUUUUAUUCAUCUCGCGAUUAAACGAGGCGUUGAAUUGCAGUGGAAAUGCUUUCGAGAAUUCAGUUACCUCUCACGGCGGCGGCGGUCGCGGUGGCUGCGAGUAAAGAAAUUUAUUGGAAACUGUUCCCCUUCUUCAAUGGGGAAAUGUUGACCUAUUUUUUUUCUCUUUUUUCCUCGCGCACCGUCGAUCAAUGCUCGUAUCCCUCGAAUUCUUUCCCUCUACAACUUUCAUUUAUUUAUUCUCCAAAUUGUCACUGUAAUAUCCCUUUAUUUCUUUCUCAGAAGAAACGAACUUUUCAGAUGCGAUAAUCCAAGGUGAAGAUCAAUAAUAAUAAUAAUAACAAACUUCUCGAGAGUUUCCGGAACGGGAUAAUUUUCUCCUUUCUUCUUUCCAAAGGGAAAUAUACACUCGCUAAUAUCUUCUUAUUAACCUCGAUGAAUUAUUUCAUUGAUAUUUAAAAGGAUUUCUAAGUGGCGGGUUUGAAUUUUUCAUCGAACGCUUUACUCGAACGCAACAUGGCGAUGAUGGUCGUUGAGCAAGAGGAAGCAUCGGAAGAAGAAGAAGAAGAAAGUCGAUCGAAGGUGCACGAAAACUGGAGGAGGGAGGGAGGGAAGUAUCGAAGAAAUUUCGUUCAUCAUGCAAAAAUAAACACGGAUACAUACUACUUGCGAGAAUACGAACGACAAUUGGCUAAAUACCUAAAGCGAAUUUCACUCCGGUCCACGCCUGUCGAACGUAAUUGAUCAGCCUCCUGUAGAGGGGCCUAGGCGGCCUUUUCGUCGAGGUGCCCUCCUCCUCGUCCCCCUGCCCGUCGCUGUCCAACGCUCCCGGCGGCGGCCCCACGCCUGUCAGCGUGCCAACCUGGUUCCUCUCCCCGAGAAUGUUCACCACCUCUCGCAGCUCAGGCGCUACGCCCUGCAGUCCUGAAUUGUAAUUCGCGGGGGCGACGCCUGAACCGAGGAGGCUCGCGCCGCCCCCGCGACCUCUGCCGCGGCCACGGCUACCACGACCCCAGGCGGCACCGCUACCUUCGAGAUCACAACACCGAGUUACAACGCUUAAACGCUGCGCGACGAUUCCACCAAACUCGCUAUAAUCGUUGCGUGCUCUGGGUGCAAGUGUGUGCGAUCUACGUAAAACGCUACGGGUAUCGCCAAUUUAUCCGAAAAUCGAUUUAUUUUUAUUCUCCCGUUCAGGGAUGCUUCGUCGUGGAAACGUUGCUCGUGCAAAUGUACAGAGAUGCGUUUCAACUUUAUAAAAAGAACUUUAGGAAAUUUUGGUUUUUUCAAAGAAAGACCGUCAAACGGGUUCGUUUUCCUUUUCGUUAAAGCGGAAACUUUUGAACUUUCGGCCUGCAACGGUUAAUUCGCCGUGUUUAUUUCGUAAAAUAUUUCGUAAAAUAUUAUUACGAACUUUCGAACGUAUUUAUUUAUAGCGGGGGAGAGAAGGGAGUUUCGUCACGUGGAUUUUAACGAAACUUUUAACUCGCAGCGGACUUGUUCCUCUUUAAUCAAACGCAUUUAGGAGCAGAUACUCCAAAGUUCCCGAGCUAUUUGCUUUCAAAGCUUUCCGCGUGCCUUUAUCGUUACCUGAUCGUAUUAUGUGCAAGUUUGUUCAAAUAUCCGAGCAACUAUCUAUGAUUUCUAGCAGAAAGCUCAGAGUUCUUUACUCUUCUUAAUCUCGACUGAGCGUCUCGAACGAAAGUGUAUCUAAGUAAACGUAUAC